rnacentral:rRNA from 1 species
UGCGUAGGCGGCGGCACAAGUCAGGUGUGAAAUCCCCCGGCUCAACCGGGGAACAGCGCUUGAAACUAGGUCGCUCGAGUGAGGUAGGGUGUAUGGAACUUCCGGUGGAGCGGUGAAAUGUGUAGAUAUCGGAAGGAACGCCGGCGGCGAAAGCGGUACACUGGGCCUUGUCUGACGCUGAGGCACGAAAGCUAGGGAAGUGAACG